GUGUGUUGAUAUAUUUUGGGCAGCCAGAUGUGCCUUCUUCUCCUCCAGAAGUGUUUUUAAUUUUGAGAUGUUGCUUUAAUGAUUAAAAUUUGGAACCGAAUUGGAAAAACUUUUUUCCUCAAAAGAUCAAAGUUCAACCAGUAACACAGCACUGGGUGGAGGAGAAAAGACAGUCUUCUUUUCUUUAGCAGUUAAUGUUGCUGUGCCCACAGUUCGUGAUAAUAGUGAAAGAUAAGUAAGUACUGAAGCAGCUGCUACCCGACAGAGCUCCUUAAUGCCAUUUGCAAGUCAAAUUGACUUUAUAGGCUGGAAAGAGGACAAAGGAGCAUUUUCGUCUUCAGGAUGUUAUAUUGCUGAUGUGCUCUUGGAGCCGUCAGUAUCAGUUCCACAGUAAAACAUUUGCUCCUGUCGUUAUUUUAUCAAUGCAAACGUGGUCAUUUGUACUCAGUGUAAACCACAGCAGUAAGACAGGAAGCAAAUCAGAGACAUCAAUGUGUAUUCAUACACUUCCUCUCAUAAUACCCUUUGUGUGCUGUCUAUUCUUUGCUCUGCUGACUAUAUACGAUAUUUUGAAACAGAAGACACAACCAUGCAUUUCACAAUAACUACUGGAGCUACUGCAAAGUUGGAACCCAAUUCCAGAUGUUCUCAGUCAUCCAGGUCAUGGUUGUCUAAGAAGCAUGGAGACACUUCAACCACCUGGAAAUACCCAGCCUGCAGAAGGAGACGUCGUUCAGGUUGUAGGACUUGGUGGUUAUAGGGUAAAUGCCAGCAGCCACCCAC